rnacentral:rRNA from 1 species
GACGAACGCUGGCGGCGUGCUUAACACAUGCCAGUCGAACGGUGAAGGGACCAGCUUGCUGGUUCUGGAUGAGUGGCGAACGGGUGAGUAACACGUGAGUAACCUGCCCCCUUCUUCUGGAUAACCGCAUGAAAGUGUGGCUAAUACGGGAUAUUCUGGGUCUGUCGCAUGGCGGGCCCGGGAAAGAUAUUGCUUCGGUGGGGGAUGGGCUCGCGGCCUAUCAGCUUGUUGGUGGGGUGAUGGCCUACCAAGGCGGUGACGGGUAGCCGGCCUGAGAGGGUGGACGGUCACACUGGGACUGAGACACGGCCCAGACUCCUACGGGAGGCAGCAGUGGGGAAGAUUGCACAAUGGGCGCAAGCCUGAUGCAGCGACGCCGCGUGAGGGAUGGAGGCCUUCGGGUUGUAAACCUCUUUCGCCAGUGAAGCAGGCCUGCUCCUUGUGGGUGGGUUGACGGUAGCUGGAUAAGAAGCGCCGGCUAACUACGUG